GCGGCGAUGGAUGCUGGCCACGGCCCCCAACCGGGGAUUUGGGGACAGCACCGGGGCGCUCGCCACCCCCGUUAACCCCCAAAAACCGCGGUCCCCCCCCGGCUCCGGAGCGGGGCGCGGCCCGGGGGUGCCGCUGCGGGCGGCGGGCGGGGGGGAGCGGCCCGGGGCGCGGCACCGCCCCCGCCGCCGCCGCCGCCCCACGCAUGCUCGCGGCCGCCGCCGCGCCGGAGCGGAGCGGAGCGGGACGGGACGGGACGGGACGGGACCGGGCGGCAGCCGCCGCCGCUGCAGGGUCUCCAGGCCACGUCCCCGCGGCCCCGGGAGCCGCAGCAGCACCUGAAUCCCGCUCCUGGCUCGACCGCGCCGGGGGAAGGCUGGCUUUUGCGGAUUAGCAU
rnacentral:lncRNA from 1 species